GUCUACAAUUGGAUCAACCAUGGCUUUUUAAUUGGAGUCCGAUUCAACUUUUUCUCUACCGUGUCCUCUCAUUGUUUUGUGCUCUCCACAGAUUGGAUCCUUUGUCUUCUCACCUAUAAUUCUGGGAUGACUCAUGGAGAUCAGGUAGGAGCACACCAACUUUACCCAUCUGCUCGAUGACUCAUGGAGAUCAGGUAGGAGCACACCAACUAUCCCCAUCUUCUCAAGAUUCUCCCACUUUGUGCAAAGCUUGCCUCUGAUCUGUUGCUGUCAUUGUUCUGUUUGUUAGAUCCUACAUGUUGCUUACAUAGUGCAGAUUCACCGACUAAUCAUAGGGUCUACUCUCUUUUUUCUAAUUAAAGCCUUGGAUUUGCCAGCAGCUUUGCUUGAGACUAAACAAGUACAAAUCCUAAGAAUUUUUAUGAUCUUUUACCUGUUAAUCUUUUCUAUUCCUUUAAUUUUUUAUAUUCGAGUUAUACUUUCUUUCGUUUUUGUAGUAUAAGGUUUAAAAUAAUACAGCUAACCUCAAUGGAGAAGGAUUCCCAUGCAAAGUGAAGGCCAGAGUAGCUACACCAAUGAGUAGUUACGCCAACGAGAAAGAUUCCUAGAAAGGGAAGGCUGGAGUAAUUCGUCUAUGGAACGCCAUUAACGUCGACAGCAAUGAACUUAUUUGACUUGACAUGAUACUAGAUGAAGAGGUCAGCCUAUUGGUAAAAUUAUAUGAUUUGCCAACAGAAAGAUGGUAGUAUGAGUUAUAGUACUUAUUACAAAUACAGAAGCAUCUUCUCGCUGCAUUACAUGGCACUAUAUUGGCUUAGCUGCAUGUGUAUCUCUAUGAUGUUAUUAAUCCGUGCAAGUAUCAGACAAUAAAUUUUUUGCAUGGCCACCAUUGCAGCUGGCCACCAUCGUGAUGGCGGAUUCAUCAUGCUACUGCUUCUUGGUUGGAACGUCGUGGCUGCACGGCCGGUCGACAUGCAACGCCAAUGCAAAGGCGUGUGCACUCACUACUUUAUUCCCAUGCUUCCAGUCGCAGGUGCAUUCAGCUCGCCAAGUUCUGGAUCUAGGGGUACAUGUGAUGGCUUGCUAGAGCAUCACGUACAUAUAAGGUUUCCAUGUUAGAGUAUGUUGUUUCCAGUUAUUUAUCUGGAAGGCGAUCAGUCGAUUGGUGAGGCCAUAAAUGGCUGUCUAUGGUUGUCUCCAGGUAACAAUUUUUUUCCCCGAGCUAGCAUCUUAGUUGGACACAGGUUAUUGUCUGCAACUACUCAUGUUUCAGGCAAUAGACUUUGCCUGCUAACAGAAAAUGUUCUAAUGUUAUGGACAUUGUUCACAUGGCUGGAGUUCUAAAGUUUAUAGCUAAGGACCUUAUCCAUGAAAGGAUUCUAACUAAAUUUUUUUGAGAGUUGAAGACCGAGUUGGAGCAGAACUAUGGCAACCAUGUCGUGCUAAAUACGGCCUAUGAGCUAUGCAUGUCGCCAAUACGUUACCUAAUACAUGGGAGGCUCAUGUUAGACUUGGCAAUGUUCUCUCGAUCUUUUUUCUAUCGGAUUUUUGUACUGCGAAAUUGAAUUGCUUCUAAGUAAGGAUUAGCCUUCACCUCAGUCCAUGCAUUUUAACUUUGUAAAUAUUUUAAGGUUAAACUUAUGAUGAAUGCAUGCCCCAGUUUAGAGUGGUGACGACUAUUGUAAACAUGUUUGGUUCAAGAUUUAUUUUUUGUUUGGUUUUGCGGGUGAUUGUUUGGUUCAAAAUUUAGCAACAUAAUCAGAUUAUUUGUCCAUUAACCCAAACAUAUGCAGAAGUAAGAAAACAAAUUCAUUGUAGUCAAUGCCAAUACACCUGCCUUACCCCCAAGUGGAUGCAAUAGGAUUCAGGUCUACCAAGUUUAAGGGUAAAUCUAACAUGACAUAGAAAGUUUGAACAUGUAUGGGAUGAUAAUUCAUCUCAAUCAAAAAAACAUAGUUGCAUUUUUUUUCACUCUUCUCCAUUCAAUUUUGUCCUCAAUGUGAUUAGGUUUUA
rnacentral:lncRNA from 1 species